GUGGAACCGAUGAAAAUUCAAGUACUCAGCAAAAACUUCUCAUACCGUGUAUAAGCUAUGGUGCAUUUACAAUGAAGUAACCUGCCUUAACUUAAGCUUGUAUGAAUCACUAAACCUAAUCCGGACACAAAGAAGAAUCCUACUGAUGGAGCUUGAAAUUAAUCUAGCAUGGGACAAGUAAUAUUACCAAUGAACAAUAACAAGGGUUUCAGUUCUUCCUGGCAUGAGACUAGUCUAGCAGCGACAGACUGAACAUUUCAAUAUUUGUAUUAUACUAAUGUGAACAGAUUUGGAAGGUUAUACGAAAUAGUUAGAGUAAAUAGCUAUUGUUGAUA